rnacentral:rRNA from 1 species
AGAGUUUGAUCCUGGCUCAGGAUCAACGCUGGCGGCGUGCCUAAUGCAUGCAAGUCGAACGCGGUCUCCGCGAGGGGGCUGGCGUGGCGGACGGGUGAGGAACACGUGGGCAACCUGCCCCGGGGCGGGGGGUAGCCCCCGGAAACGGGGGGUAAUUCCGCAUGUGCGCGGCCCUCGUCUGGGGGGGUCGCGGAAAGGCGCAAGCCACCCCGGGAGGGGCCUGCGGCCGAUUAGCUGGUUGGCGGGGUCACGGCCCACCAAGGCGACGAUCGGUAGCUGGUCUGAGAGGACGGCCAGCCACACGGGGACUGAGAGACGGCCCCGACUCCUACGGGAGGCAGCAGCAAGGGAUUUUCCGCAAUGGGCGCAAGCCUGACGGAGCAACGCCGCGUGGGGGAGGACGCCCUUCGGGGUGUAAACCCCUUUUCUUGGGGACGACGCACCGACGGUACCCGAGGAAGAAGGCCCGGCUAACUACGUGCCAGCAGCCGCGGUAAUACGUAGGGGCCGAGCGUUGUCCGGAGUGACUGGGCGUAAAGCGCGCGCAGGCGGCCCGCCGCGCCCGGCGUGAAAGCCCCCGGCUCAACCGGGGAGGGUCGUCGGGGACGGGCGGGCUUGAGGGCGGCAGGGGCCGGUGGAAUCCCCGGUGUAGUGGUGAAAUGCGUAGAGAUCGGGGGGAACACCCGUGGCGAAGGCGGCCGGCUGGGCCGACUCUGACGCUGAGGCGCGAAGGCGUGGGGAGCGAACGGGAUUAGAUACCCCGGUAGUCCACGCGGUAAACGAUGCGGACUGGGCGUGGGGGGACUUGACCCCCUCCGUGCCGGAGCUAACGCGGGAAGUCCGCCGCCUGGGGAGUACGGCCGCAAGGCUAAAACUCAAAGGAAUUGAC